rnacentral:rRNA from 1 species
AUUGAACGCUGGCGGCAGGCCUAACACAUGCAAGUCGAACGAGUGGCGGACGGGUGAGUAAUGUCUGGGAAACUGCCCGAUGGAGGGGGAUAACUACUGGAAACGGUAGCUAAUACCGCAUACCAUCGGAUGUGCCCAGAUGGGAUUAGCUAGUAGGUGGGGUAAUGGCUCACCUAGGCGACGCUCCCUAGCUGGUCUGAGAGGAUGACCGGCCACACUGGAACUGAGACACGGUCCAGACUCCUACGGGGGGCAGCAGUGGGGAAUAUUGCACAAUGGGCGCAAGCCUGCUGCAGCCAUGCCGCGUGUAUGAAUAAGGCCUUCGGGUUGUAAAGUCCUUUCAGCGGGGAGGCGUUACCCGCAGAAGAAGCACCGGCUAACUCCGUGCCAGCAGCCGCGGUAAUUC